ensembl:antisense B230322F03Rik RIKEN cDNA B230322F03 gene
UUCGGCCAGGCCGGCCGGAGGCGACAGCGCCAGACUGGGCUCCGGAGAAGCCGGAGCCGCGUCCCGUGGCCGCAGCAGUAGCACCCCCGCCUCCUCGAAGGUUUCGCGGAUGGCACAGAUGCGCAGCGCUACGUCAUCGGGCAGCGCCGCGGGGUCCUUGUCGCCGUGGGACAGCCCGGGGAAGGGGGGUUGCCGAGGCGGCUCCGGGCCUAGGCCGAAGCGCGGCGGCGCGUGCCGAGGCGCGAACAGACGCACCCAGUCGGGCGAGCUGUCGGCCGCGUCCAGCACGCCGCCCGGGAAGACGUGCGCGCCGGGCAUGAAGCGCUGGUUUUGCGCUCGCUGGAGAAGCAGCAGCCGGAAGCCUGCGGGGCUCGAGUGCGUCCAGCCUGCGGCCAACAUCAAGGUGGCUGCCCGCCGCCAGCUGCUCGGGCCGCUCAUGGCCGGCGUCCUUCAGAUCCCCCUUAGGAAGUGGCCGGGUCGUAGAGUGGUGUCCGGAAGCCCGAUGAAUGUUGAGGGCCUGAGAAAGAGCUGGCCUGGAGGCUUCCGGAGGUUUGCUUGUGGGAGGAGCGUGAUUCCCGCGCCAGAGUACCUCCUCGAGUGCCCUGUGCUUCAGUCGGGGUCAUUCUCGUCCUGUCACAGCCCUGUCACAGCUGCUGCAGCCACCAGCCAGCCACUGGGAGUAUGGGUGCCAGUAUGGAAUGGAAAACAAUUUCUAGUUGUGAACCUUUCCCACUAAACGCAAGCGGCUAGGGACUAGGACUUUGUCCCCUACGCCGGCCUGUUGCCUGUAGGGCUGUUCCAAGAAGGUCUCUUGAACCAUGCUAAUAAACGAAUGGGUGGAUCAGAUGCUACCUUAGACUAACUGCUAACUGUAGUUUGAAUGUCUUUGGCGAGUCCCUGUCUCUCGGGGUAGUUUGUCUUAAGUUGUAGAUGUUGUUAUUGCCCGGGCACCUGAGGACCAGGGGAAAUUCUCAGUGUGAUUAGUUCUCUUCUUACGUGGGAGAUGUUUAAUUAGACUAGCAAUGCUUCCCCUCCUCGCCAACCUUUCUUUUUCUUUUUCUCUUUCUUUUUCUGGUUUUUCGAGACAGGGUUUCUCUGUGUAGCCCUGGCCGCCCUGGAACUCACUCUAUAGACCAGGCUGGCAUUGAAUUCAGAAAUCCACCUGCCUCUGCCUCCCAAGUGCUGGGAUCAAAGAUGUGCGCCACCACUGCCCAGCUUCCUCUCUAAUUUUUAAGUGGCUGGAGGACUUGCACGUCUAAGAUCACCAUGACUAUUUUAUUUUUUGGAAACAGCUUGUUUCUGUCUCCCUUUUUGCAGCUAGCUCUCAGUCAGCAACUCGUGCAAAUCCCAUCCUAAUUGAUCACAUAUUUUUAGGUGUUUGGAUGAGUUAGGUUGUAUUCUUGGGGCUACAGAGAUGGUUUUGUUUUAUGAUUUGAGAAAGUAUCAUUAUGUAGUCUUGGCUUUUUGGAAACUUGCUAUGUAAACGUCCAGGCUGGCCUCAAACUCACAGAAAUCUAUCUGCUUGUCUCUGCCUCCCCGGGUGUAGGACUAAUAAAGGUGUGUGCCAGCCUC